CCUACGGGCGGCAGCAGUGAGGAAUAUUGGUCAAUGGACGAGAGUCUGAACCAGCCAAGUAGCGUGAAGGAUGAAGGUCCUAUGGAUUGUAAACUUCUUUUAUACGGGAAUAAAGUGCAGUAUGCAUACUGUUUUGUAUGUACCGUAUGAAUAAGGAUAGGCUAACUCCGUGCCAGCAGCCGCGGUAAUACGGAGGAUCCGAUCGUUAUCUGGAUUUAUUGGGUUUAAAGGGAGCGUAGGCGGAUGCUUAAGUCAGUGGUGAAAGGUUGCGGCUCAACCGUAAAAUUGCAGUUGAUACUGGGCGUCUUGAGCGCAGUAGAGGCAGGCGGAAUUCGUGGUGUAGCGGUGAAAUGCGUAGAUAUCACGAAGAACUCCGAUUGCGAAGGCAGCCUGCUGGACUGUCACUGACGCUGAUGCUCGAAAGUGUGGGUAGCAAACAGGAUUAGAUACCCCUGUAGUC
rnacentral:rRNA from 1 species